rnacentral:sRNA from 1 species
UUUUUUUAAAGAUUCUGUUCAUGUAAAAGAAUUUCAUAAUAAUGUUUUUUCUUAAAAAUUCAUAACGUUUUUUGAAAUAGCAUGUUUUUAAACUAAAUAUAACAUGUGAAAUUUUAAUGUUACAUACUAUUUUGAAAAAUUACACGGAUGUGUUUCGUUUACUGUUCAUCUUACAACAAAUGAAGGGUAGCUUUGUUAUUUCCUUUCUUCAGACAAUGUGGAUCCAUGGUUAUUUUGUAACAAAAAACUUUCUCUCUGCUAGUUUCUUAAUUUGUAUGUUUUAUUUGGUUAUCUACUAAUAUUACUCUAUAAUCUACUACUAAUAAAAAUAACUCUUUGAGACCUGUCAAAGUAUCCACUUCAGCAAAUAAGAGUUUCUCUUAAAUCUUGCCACAUCAGUCAUCCAAAAUUUU